GCGUAAUGGCGCUGUCAAACGGGAUGGAACCGAAAAACAAGAACCUUCUCGGGCUCGUGGACCUCCGCGCUGAUCAGAACAAGGCCCGGGCAGAGUUCUACAACCGGUGGGAAGCGGCUCGAGGAUACCUUCAGAAGGCCGCUGAACGGAUGCGAAACGUCUACGGUGCCGUCAGACUCCGUGCGAAGAAGAAUCGUAUCCCCUUGAUUCCGUACACGAGCAUUGCCGUCCCACUAGCAGCGCUCAUUCGAGAGGCUGAAACUCUCGGCUGAGCGAAAGCGCUAUACGAUAGGAUUGACCGCUGGUACUGGACGGCUGUGUUCACUGGCCGGUAUGCCCAUGCGGUAGAGUCACAGUCGUACGCCGACUACAAGGCGGUUGCCGCGUGGCUCCGGGACGAUUCAUCUGUUCCCGAUCUGGCCGCGGACGUUGCGAGCGUCGUUACGGAGAUUGGCAAGGCCUCUCGCACUUCAGCGCUCGCAAAAGCGUUCUACAAUUUGGUUGUUCUCAAUGGCGCGACCGAUUUCCUCAACGGUCAAUCAGUCAAGCUGGACGAUUGCGAGGUGGAUCACAUCUUCCCCGCGU
rnacentral:misc_RNA from 1 species